CUCCUUGGGUGACGAGUGGCGGACGGGUGAGUAAUGUCUGGGAAACUGCCCGAUGGAGGGGGAUAACUACUGGAAACGGUAGCUAAUACCGCAUAACGUCGCAAGACCAAAGAGGGGGACCUUCGGGCCUCUUGCCAUCGGAUGUGCCCAGAUGGGAUUAGCUAGUAGGUGGGGUAACGGCUCACCUAGGCGACGAUCCCUAGCUGGUCUGAGAGGAUGACCAGCCACACUGGAACUGAGACACGGUCCAGACUCCUACGGGAGGCAGCAGUGGGGAAUAUUGCACAAUGGGCGCAAGCCUGAUGCAGCCAUGCCGCGUGUAUGAAGAAGGCCUUCGGGUUGUAAAGUACUUUCAGCGAGGAGGAAGGCGUUGUGGUUAAUAACCGCAGCGAUUGACGUUACUCGCAGAAGAAGCACCGGCUAACUCCGUGCCAGCAGCCGCGGUAAUACGGAGGGUGCAAGCGUUAAUCGGAAUUACUGGGCGUAAAGCGCACGCAGGCGGUCUGUCAAGUCGGAUGUGAAAUCCCCGGGCUCAACCUGGGAACUGCAUCCGAAACUGGCAGGCUAGAGUCUUGUAGAGGGGGGUAGAAUUCCAGGUGUAGCGGUGAAAUGCGUAGAGAUCUGGAGGAAUACCGGUGGCGAAGGCGGCCCCCUGGACAAAGACUGACGCUCAGGUGCGAAAGCGUGGGGAGCAACAGGAUUAGAUACCCUGGUAGUCCACGCCGUAAACGAUGUCGACUUGGAGGUUGUGCCCUUGAGGCGUGGCUUCCGGAGCUAACGCGUUAAGUCGACCGCCUGGGG
rnacentral:rRNA from 1 species